AGCCCCUCCCCUGGAUACGCCACUGCAUAGAAUACUAACUCUGUUGAGCAAAAUCUUAACAAACGACAACAUGUUCAAGUAUAUUACAAACUUCCUAAAAGAAAGACAUUUUCAGGUCAAAGUAUCCCAUACCUUAUCAAAGACGUUCUGCCAAGAAAAUGGCAUCUCACAAGGAUCAUCACUGGCAGUUAAACUCUUUCUUUUGGCCAUUAAUGACAUUGUUGAAACAAUUAAAGUUCCUAUUAAAGCCAAUUUAUUCGCCGAUGACUUUAACAUAUUUUGCAGAAGCAAUAACCUAGAAACUGUCCAAGAAUUACUCCAAAUUAGUGCCAACAGCUUAUCAGAUUGGUAAAAAAAAAACUGGAUUCUCAUUCUCAAACCUCAAAUCCCA